UACGUAGGGUGCGAGCGUUAAUCGGAAUUACUGGGCGUAAAGCGUGCGCAGGCGGCGGCUCAAGUCAGGUGUGAAAUCCCCGGGCUUAACCUGGGAAUUGCGCUUGAAACUAGGCUGCUUGAGUGUGGCAGAGGGGGGUGGAAUUCCACGUGUAGCAGUGAAAUGCGUAGAGAUGUGGAGGAACACCGAUGGCGAAGGCAGCCCCCUGGGUCAACACUGACGCUCAGGCACGAAAGCGUGGGGAGCAAACAGGAUUAGAUACCCUGGUAGUCCACGCCCUAAACGAUGCGAACUAGGUGUUGGGGAAGGAGACUUCCUUAGUACCGCAGCUAACGCGUGAAGUUCGCCGCCUGGGGAGUACGGUCGCAAGAUUAAA
rnacentral:rRNA from 1 species